GAGAACUGGUCCAGAGCGAAAGAAAUAAGCUUGGGAGAUAUGAAGAAGGCAGAAUCCAUGAUGCUUACGAAUGACUGGCAGAAGAGCAGAGGUGAUAUCCACUAUUGCUACAGCAGUGACUGCUAGAAGAGAUGGUGAUGCCAUUUUGGAUAUGUGCAGCUGGAGUAGCCUGUGAGAUCAGCCUUUGGAUAGCUGAGUGUGGAGCAAAAGAUGCGGGAGACACAGCAGCAUUAUCAAAGUCUGGUGGUAUACUUCUGGAUAUUUGGGGGUUUGCUCUUUCCCGUCUUCUGGAGCCUUUCGGAGUCCUCCGUGGGAGCACCCCAGUUCUGGUUCCGCGGGGUCGGGUGCGCGUGCUGCAGCAGUUUUUCAGGGGUGCUGGGCUGAGAAUUGUGGAGAGGUCAGCCCCCAGGGAGGCUGAGCAUCUGCAGGGACAUCUACUUUUCGAGCAGUUAACUUGGAAGACCAGUAGCUUCGUUUCCUCAGUUCCUACCUAGUACCUGAGAAGCCCUUCCUGGAGGACUUGAGCAGACCUUGAGCUGGAGGCCCAAGAUUCGGUUGCAGGCUGAUUGUGUGCCACCGCAGAAAUGCUGGCUCCGAGUGCGAGUGCGAGCAGAUUGUUAGGAAGUCAGAGGCAUCGAAAUUCCAGCGCCAGAACCAGAGCCCUGGCCGCACCACCACUGUCGCCUCUGAAGUCUCCCUACGAGUUUGGUUGGCAGCUCUUCUCGGGUUUAGGAGCAGAGGCAGUCUGGGCGGGCGUGGAAGUGCAGAUGGAACCCACGUCAGCACUCUUGAGAAGCUAGAGGCUGGCAGCCCCUUAGCAUAUCUCCCUUCCCGACAGAACCCCAUCUUUCCUAGGUCAGAUCCAAAAGUCUAUGGAAUGAUGGAAUUAGCCAAGUCUUGAAGUUAAUAAAGGUGGGACAGAUAGAGGAAGACAAAUAUCAUUCUCCAGACUCGGAGUGAGUGAAAGGGGCAAAAGAUGAUUAACCGCUCGGCUUUGCUCUGACACUUCAAACUCAACCCCGGGUUGACACCCUGGAAAGGAUGAUUAAGGCCUUCUGCUUGGACUAACAAAGGCGACUUGACAUUCAAACUCCCUGGUGCUGCUCAAUUUUUAUUCUUGGGCGGUUUGUUGCAUCUAUUUCUGUUUUCUGAGCCUUAAAUUUGGGUUCAGUAAUCUCAUGCAGAUCUCUGUGGCGACACUUCCGACCCCCGCCCCCCGCCGCUGGUUCAUUAA
rnacentral:lncRNA from 1 species